AUUUGUUUGACUUAAUACAUAAUUGACACUAAUAUACAUGUAUUACUUUACAUACACUGUCACUUUCAAAUCACUGCUUGUACCUACACUUACAUACUGUCUAUUGCACUACCUGCUACUCCCAUUUGUCUGUAGUUUAGUUUAUUAUAUGUCACCAUAUGUGUAGUAUAUGUUAUAUGUAUAUAUGUUAGUAUUAUAUGUAUAGGUUGGUAUAUUUAGUAAGGUCAUUAUAUGUUAUUACAUGUAAAUUAUGUUCAGAGUACUUGUACAGAGUGUAUGUCAUGUUAUGUUAUAUUAUGUUUGCUAUGUUAUGCUAUGGUAGUUGUUGUGUGGUGCCUUGUCCUAAGAAUUUCAGUGCCCAGUCUGACCCUGUGUCAUUCUGUGCAUCUGACAAUAAAAGACUUGUAACUUGUAACUUGUAACUUUAUUUCUAGUUUCAAAGGAUGAGCUCUGUUCCUUCUGUGGAAUUGAGGACCUGCCCAAAACUGAUGUUGAUGCUGUUUGGAUUCAGUGUGGAACUUGCUCAAGAUGGUUUCACACGCAGUGCCUUGGGAUGACAGCAGCACAAAUACCAAACAACAUUGGUAUUGUGUGUUGUGUAACUGAACACUUAGGAAUAUGUAUGUCUGACUUUGUCGGAUAAACUUGUUGACUUCAAGUUUAUCCAGUUAAAUGUUGUUCAAGCCAAACCAGUCAUGUAUACAUUGGUAUCUGAUCGUUCAUAAAGAUUAAAUGGGGGAACUACUUGA